GAUGAACGCUGGCGGCGUGCCUAACACAUGCAAGUCGAACGAAACUUCUUUAUCACCGUGUGCUUGCACUCAGCGAUACAGGGUUGAGUGGCGAACGGGUCCGUAACUCGUCUUUAAUCUGCCCAAAAGAAGGGGAUAAUACUUGCAUACAGGAGCUAAUACUGCAUAACCAUAGUUACAGCAUGGUAACUAUGUAAAAGGUGGCUAUAGUUCUGCUUUUGGAUGGGCCGGCGGCGCAUUAGCUAGUUGGUAGGGUAAAGGCCUACCGAGGCAAGGACGCGUAGCCGAAUGGAGAGGUUGAUCGGCCACAUUGGAACUGAGACACGGCCCAAACUCCUACGAGAGGCAGCAGUAGGGAAUCGUCGACAAUGGGCGCAAGCCUGAUGGAGCGAGGCCGCGUGGGUGAAGAAGGCCUUCGGAUCGUAAAGCCCUGUUGUUGGGGAAGAAAGGGCGUGGGAGGAACUGAUGACGUUGUGACGGUAACUAACCAAAAAGCACCGGCUAACUACGUG
rnacentral:rRNA from 1 species